rnacentral:rRNA from 1 species
UGGGGAAUAUUGGACAAUGGGCGAAAGCCUGAUCCAGCCAUGCCGCGUGUGUGAAGAAGGUCUUCGGAUUGUAAAGCACUUUAAGUUGGGAGGAAGGGCAUUAACCUAAUACGUUAGUGUUUUGACGUUACCGACAGAAUAAGCACCGGCUAACUCUGUGCCAGCAGCCGCGAUAAUACAGAGGGUGCAAGCGUUAAUCGGAAUUACUGGGCGUAAAGCGCGCGUAGGUGGUUUGUUAAGUUGGAUGUGAAAUCCCCGGGCUCAACCUGGGAACUGCAUUCAAAACUGACUGACUAGAGUAUGGUAGAGGGUGGUGGAAUUUCCUGUGUAGCGGUGAAAUGCGUAGAUAUAGGAAGGAACACCAGUGGCGAAGGCGACCACCUGGACUAAUACUGACACUGAGGUGCGAAAGCGUGGGGAGCAAACA